rnacentral:tRNA from 1 species
GAAAUAUACUUUAAUAAAGCUUCUAACUUUAUACUAAACAAUUAAAUAUUGUUUAUAUUUCU